rnacentral:rRNA from 1 species
GACGAACGCUGGCGGCGUGCUUAACACAUGCAAGUCGAACGGAAAGGCCCUGCUUUUGUGGGGUGCUCGAGUGGCGAACGGGUGAGUAACACGUGAGUAACCUGCCCUUGACUUUGGGAUAACUUCAGGAAACUGGGGCUAAUACCGGAUAGGAGCUCCUGCUGCAUGGUGGGGGUUGGAAAGUUUCGGCGGUUGGGGAUGGACUCGCGGCUUAUCAGCUUGUUGGUGGGGUAGUGGCUUACCAAGGCUUUGACGGGUAGCCGGCCUGAGAGGGUGACCGGCCACAUUGGGACUGAGAUACGGCCCAGACUCCUACGGGAGGCAGCAGUGGGGAAUAUUGCACAAUGGGCGGAAGCCUGAUGCAGCAACGCCGCGUGCGGGAUGAAGGCCUUCGGGUUGUAAACCGCUUUCGCCUGAGACGAAGCGUGAGUGACGGUAAUGGGUAAAGAAGCACCGGCUAACUACGUG